AUUGAACGCUGGCGGCAGGCCUAACACAUGCAAGUCGAACGAGUGGCGGACGGGUGAGUAAUGUAUGGGAAACUGCCUGAUGGAGGGGGAUAACUACUGGAAACGGUAGCUAAUACCGCAUACCAUCGGAUGUGCCCAGAUGGGAUUAGCUAGUGGGUGGGGUAAUGGCUCACCUAGGCGACGAUCCCUAGCUGGUCUGAGAGGAUGACGACCCACACUGGACCUGAGCAACGGCCCAGCCUCCUAGGGGAGGAAGCAGGGGGGAAUUUUGGAAAAGGGGGGAAACCCUGAUCCAGCCAGCCCGCGGGUUGGAUGAAGGCCUUCGGGUUGAAAACCACUUUCGGCAGGGAAGCGUUAUCUGAAGAAGAAGCACCGGCUAACCCCGGGCCAGCCGCCGCGGUAAUAC
rnacentral:rRNA from 1 species